UACAGAGGGUGCAAGCGUUGCUCGGAAUUAUUGGGCGUAAAGGGUAAGUAGGUGGUCUUGUUUGUCUGAGGUGAAAGGCCUAGACUUAACUUGGGCAGUGCCUUAGAAACGGCAAGACUAGAGUUCUGGAUGGGGCCGUGGAAUUCCCGGUGUAGCGGUGAAAUGCGUAGAGAUCGGGAGGAACACCAGAGGCGAAGGCGGCGGCCUGGACAGAAACCGACACUCAACUACGAAAGCAUGGGGAGCAAACAGGAUUAGAUACCCCACGUAGU
rnacentral:rRNA from 1 species